rnacentral:rRNA from 1 species
GCGAGUGGAUCCCUUCGGGGUGAAGCUCGUGGAACGAGCGGCGGACGGGUGAGUAACACGUGGGCAACCUGCCUGUAAGAUCGGAAUAACCCCGGGAAACCGGGGCUAAUGCCGGGUAAUACUUUCUUUCGCAUGAAGGAAAGUUGAAAGAUGGCUUCUCGCUAUCACUUACAGAUGGGCCCGCGGCGCAUUAGCUAGUUGGUGAGGUAACGGCUCACCAAGGCGACGAUGCGUAGCCGACCUGAGAGGGUGAUCGGCCACACUGGGACUGAGACACGGCCCAGACUCCUACGGGAGGCAGCAGUAGGGAAUCUUCCGCAAUGGACGAAAGUCUGACGGAGCAACGCCGCGUGAACGAUGAAGGUCUUCGGAUCGUAAAGUUCUGUUGUUAGGGAAGAACAAGUACCGUGCGAAUAGAGCGGUACCUUGACGGUACCUAACGAGGAAGCCCCGGCUAACUACGUGCCAGCAGCCGCGGUAAUACGUAGGGGGCAAGCGUUGUCCGGAAUUAUUGGGCGUAAAGCGCGCGCAGGCGGUUCCUUAAGUCUGAUGUGAAAGCCCACGG